UGAAGGCCGGGCGCAGCCAGUUGUUCCUGGAUUUUCUGUGUGCGCUGACCGGGUGACCGCCAAGUGACAGAGAAAUUGAGCUCUGCACAUUUCGCCUGCCUGGUGCAACAUAACUCCAGCAUGUCUCACCUGCCACAGAUGUGUGCAGAACACAAAUGAAGAUUUUUAGAAGAAGAAUAUCUCAGCUCUGUAGGUCCUACCAAGUGAAUGAUGACCAGAAAUCUGAAGAUCCAAAAAACAGAUUAAAGCUGCAUAAAAUUCUCUUCAGAUAGGAUUAUUCGUGGGGCAUCUCUCGUCAGUGGCUGGCUCUCAUUAAAUAGGGGCCUUGGGUACACGUCUGGGGAGAAGAUGGAAAUGAG